rnacentral:tRNA from 1 species
GAAUCGGUGGUUCAGUGGUAGAAUGCUCGCCUGCCACGCGGGCGGCCCUGGUUCGAUACCCGGCCGAUGCA